CAAUAAGCGGAGGAAAAGAAACCAACAGGGAUUGCCCUAGUAACGGCGAGUGAAGCGGCAACAGCUCAAAUUUGAAAUCUGGCUACUUUGUAGUCCGAGUUGUAAUUUGUAGAGGAUGCUUUUGGUGAAGUGCUUUCUGAGUUCCCUGGAACGGGACGCCAGAGAGGGUGAGAGCCCCGUACAGUUAGCAACUGACCCUUUGUAUAGCUCCUUCGACGAGUCGAGUAGUUUGGGAAUGCUGCUCUAAAUGGGAGGUAUAUCUCUUCUAAAGCUAAAUAUAGGCUAGAGACCGAUAGCGCACAAGUAGAGUGAUCGAAAGAUGAAAAGCACUUUGAAAAGAGAGUUAAACAGCACGUGAAAUUGUUGAAAGGGAAGCGCCUAUGACCAGACUUGUCUCUAUCAGUUUUGGUAGUUUUCGGACUGCUUUACUCUGUUAGUACAGGCCAACAUCAGUUUGUUGUCGGGGAGAAAGGCUUAGGGAAUGUGGCUCCUUUGGGAGUGUUAUAGCCCUUUGCAUAAUACCCUUCGGCAGACUGAGGACCGCGCUUCGGCAAGGAUGUUGGCGUAAUGG
rnacentral:rRNA from 1 species